AUUGAACGCUGGCUUGCGGCCUAACACAUGCAAGUCGAGCGGUAGCACAGAGAGCUUGCUCUCGGGUGACGAGCGGCGGACGGGUGAGUAAUGUCUGGGAAACUGCCUGAUGGAGGGGGAUAACUACUGGAAACGGUAGCUAAUACCGCAUAACGUCGCAAGACCAAAGUGGGGGACCUUCGGGCCUCAUGCCAUCAGAUGUGCCCAGAUGGGAUUAGCUAGUAGGUGGGGUAAUGGCUCACCUAGGCGACGAUCCCUAGCUGGUCUGAGAGGAUGACCAGCCACACUGGAACUGAGACACGGUCCAGACUCCUACGGGAGGCAGCAGUGGGGAAUAUUGCACAAUGGGCGCAAGCCUGAUGCAGCCAUGCCGCGUGUGUGAAGAAGGCCUUCGGGUUGUAAAGCACUUUCAGCGGGGAGGAAGGCGAUAAGGUUAAUAACCUCAUCGAUUGACGUUACCCGCAGAAGAAGCACCGGCUAACUCCGUGCCAGCAGCCGCGGUAAUACGGAGGGUGCAAGCGUUAAUCGGAAUUACUGGGCGUAAAGCGCACGCAGGCGGUCUGUCAAGUCGGAUGUGAAAUCCCCGGGCUCAACCUGGGAACUGCAUUCGAAACUGGCAGGAUAGAGUCUUGUAGAGGGGGGUAGAAUUCCAGGUGUAGCGGUGAAAUGCGUAGAGAUCUGGAGGAAUACCGGUGGCGAAGGCGGCCCCCUGGACAAAGACUGACGCUCAGGUGCGAAAGCGUGGGGAGCAAACAGGAUUAGAUACCCUGGUAGUCCACGCCGUAAACGAUGUCGAUUUGGAGGUUGUGCCCUUGAGGCGUGGCUUCCGGAGCUAACGCGUUAAAUCGACCGCCUGGGGAGUACGGCCGCAAGGUUAAAACUCAAAUGAAUUGACGGGGGCCCGCACAAGCGGUGGAGCAUGUGGUUUAAUUCGAUGCAACGCGAAGAACCUUACCUGGCCUUGACAUCCACAGAACUUUCCAGAGAUGGAUUGGUGCCUUCGGGAACUGUGAGACAGGUGCUGCAUGGCUGUCGUCAGCUCGUGUUGUGAAAUGUUGGGUUAAGUCCCGCAACGAGCGCAACCCUUAUCCUUUGUUGCCAGCGGUCCGGCCGGGAACUCAAAGGAGGCUGCCAGUGAUAAACUGGAGGAAGGUGGGGAUGACGUCAAGUCAUCAUGGCCCUUACGACCAGGGCUACACACGUGCUACAAUGGCAUAUACAAAGAGAAGCGACCUCGCGAGAGCAAGCGGACCUCAUAAAGUAUGUCGCAGUCCGGAUUGGAGUCUGCAACUCGACUCCAUGAAGUCGGAAUCGCUAGUAAUCGUAGAUCAGAAUGCCACGGUGAAUACGUUCCCAGGCGG
rnacentral:rRNA from 1 species